UACGUAGGGAGCAAGCGUUGUCCGGAAUCAUUGGGCGUAAAGAGCGUGUAGGCGGCCCGGUAAGUCGGUUGUGAAAGUCAAGGGCUCAACCCUUGAAUGCCGACCGAUACUGUCGGGCUAGAGUCCGGAAGAGGCGAGUGGAAUUCCUGGUGUAGCGGUGAAAUGCGCAGAUAUCAGGAGGAACACCGAUGGCGAAGGCAGCUCGCUGGGACGGUACUGACGCUGAGACGCGAAAGCGUGGGGAGCGAACAGG
rnacentral:rRNA from 1 species